AAAUUGAAGAGUUUGAUCAUGGCUCAGAUUGAACGCUGGCGGCAGGCCUAACACAUGCAAGUCGAGCGGUAGCACAGAGAGCUUGCUCUCGGGUGACGAGCGGCGGACGGGUGAGUAAUGUCUGGGAAACUGCCUGAUGGAGGGGGAUAACUACUGGAAACGGUAGCUAAUACCGCAUAAUGUCGCAAGACCAAAGUGGGGGACCUUCGGGCCUCAUGCCAUCAGAUGUGCCCAGAUGGGAUUAGCUAGUAGGUGGGGUAACGGCUCACCUAGGCGACGAUCCCUAGCUGGUCUGAGAGGAUGACCAGCCACACUGGAACUGAGACACGGUCCAGACUCCUACGGGAGGCAGCAGUGGGGAAUAUUGCACAAUGGGCGCAAGCCUGAUGCAGCCAUGCCGCGUGUGUGAAGAAGGCCUUCGGGUUGUAAAGCACUUUCAGCGGGGAGGAAGGCGUUAAGGUUAAUAACCUUGGCGAUUGACGUUACCCGCAGAAGAAGCACCGGCUAACUCCGUGCCAGCAGCCGCGGUAAUACGGAGGGUGCAAGCGUUAAUCGGAAUUACUGGGCGUAAAGCGCACGCAGGCGGUCUGUCAAGUCGGAUGUGAAAUCCCCGGGCUCAACCUGGGAACUGCAUUCGAAACUGGCAGGCUAGAGUCUUGUAGAGGGGGGGGUAGAAUUCCAGGUGUAGCGGUGAAAUGCGUAGAGAUCUGGAGGAAUACCGGUGGCGAAGGCGGCCCCCUGGACAAAGACUGACGCUCAGGUGCGAAAGCGUGGGGAGCAAACAGGAUUAGAUACCCUGGUAGUCCACGCCGUAAACGAUGUCGAUUUGGAGGUUGUGCCCUUGAGGCGUGGCUUCCGGAGCUAACGCGUUAAAUCGACCGCCUGGGGAGUACGGCCGCAAGGUUAAAACUCAAAUGAAUUGACGGGGGCCCGCACAAGCGGUGGAGCAUGUGGUUUAAUUCGAUGCAACGCGAAGAACCUUACCUGGUCUUGACAUCCACAGAACUUUCCAGAGAUGGAUUGGUGCCUUCGGGAACUGUGAGACAGGUGCUGCAUGGCUGUCGUCAGCUCGUGUUGUGAAAUGUUGGGUUAAGUCCCGCAACGAGCGCAACCCUUAUCCUUUGUUGCCAGCGGUUCGGCCGGGAACUCAAAGGAGACUGCCAGUGAUAAACUGGAGGAAGGUGGGGAUGACGUCAAGUCAUCAUGGCCCUUACGACCAGGGCUACACACGUGCUACAAUGGCAUAUACAAAGAGAAGCGACCUCGCGAGAGCAAGCGGACCUCAUAAAGUAUGUCGUAGUCCGGAUUGGAGUCUGCAACUCGACUCCAUGAAGUCGGAAUCGCUAGUAAUCGUAGAUCAGAAUGCUACGGUGAAUACGUUCCCGGGCCUUGUACACACCGCCCGUCACACCAUGGGAGUGGGUUGCAAAAGAAGUAGGUAGCUUAACCUUCGGGAGGGCGCUUACCACUUUGUGAUUCAUGACUGGGGUGAAGUCGUAACAAGGUAACCGUAGGGGAACCUGCGGUUGGAUCACCUCCUUACCUUAAAGAA
rnacentral:rRNA from 1 species